rfam:Verrucomicrobiaceae bacterium TMED76 73693, whole genome shotgun sequence.
GCUCGGGUGGCGGAACUGGUAGACGCGCUAGACUAAGGAUCUAGUCCACUCACGUGGGUGCAGGUUCGAUUCCUGUUCCGAGCA